GACGAACGCUGGCGGCGUGCCUAAUACAUGCAAGUCGAGCGAAGUUUUUCUGGUGCUUGCACUAGAAAAACUUAGCGGCGAACGGGUGAGUAACACGUAAAGAACCUGCCUCAUAGACUGGGACAACUAUUGGAAACGAUAGCUAAUACCGGAAAACAGUAUUUCUCGCAUGGGAGAUAUUUAAAAGUUGGUUAUGCUAACACUAUGAGAUGGCUUUGCGGUGCAUUAGCUAGUUGGUGGGGUAAAGGCCCACCAAGGCGACGAUGCAUAGCCGACCUGAGAGGGUGAUCGGCCACACUGGGACUGAGACACGGCCCAGACUCCUACGGGAGGCAGCAGUAGGGAAUCUUCCGCAAUGGGCGAAAGCCUGACGGAGCAACGCCGCGUGAGUGAAGAAGGAUUUCGGUUCGUAAAGCUCUGUUGUUAGGGAAGAAUGGAUAUGUAGUAACUAUACAUGUAAGAGACGGUACCUAACCAGAAAGCCACGGCUAACUACGUG
rnacentral:rRNA from 1 species